UCGACUUCCCAAAUAAAAAAAAACCCACGGAAUCUAUGAAUCUCGUCUUCUCCUCUUCCACGUCUCUUUCUCUUCCCCACCCCUCCCCCUAUCUUACUACGCCGCAAUCUCAUUCCAUGGAGAUUCUCGCAAAAAUUCUAAAGCUUCGGAUCCUGGAUCGGCAUCUGGAGGCCUGGAACUUGGAUCCUCUGAUCCACAUGCUAUGGAUGCGGAUUUGGAUUAUCUGACCUAACGCGAGAUUUCGAAUCAGACGAAGUGAAUCUCGACGUCUCAAUUCCAUAGCAUAGGGAAAAAUGAGUUCCGAUGCUAAGGAUAGCGUGGCUGAUAAAUCAAGUCAACACGUUUCUCAUAAGACAGUUAUUUGUGAUAUGGAACUGUUGAGUUUGAUGAAGAGAAUCUGAUUGAAUGUAAAGUCACUGGCUUUGGUGAUGAAGAGGAGGAGAAAGCUGAUGAUUACCGAGAUACAGCUGUUAGUUCGGAUAUUGAAACAGAGCAAUACGAAAGGUGUAGUGGCGAGCUAAAGCUAAAACAAGUGUUUGACACUUUGGAAGAGUUUAAAGAUGCUAUGGUGGAUUAUGUGUUGCAUGAAGGAUGAAAGGUAAAUUAUUAUCUCUCAGGUAAAUUUCUCGCCACUAUUGCUUCGAACCCUUCAAAGUAUCUGAAAAAGUUGUAUUUUCGUUUCGGCCGUGUUUCUCUCUUUCUCGGGUCGGUGAUUUGACCGUGUCAAUCGAUCUCUCCGACGGUGAUGAAGAAGGCUACUCCGGAGGUUUCUAUGAAUAGAACAUGUGUCUUUUGGGGCAUCAAUGUUUCCGGUUCCUCUGGCUUUGAUCCAGCUCGGGUCCGUCAGUGCAUUAAACGGUUGCUGAAGAAUUAUGGCCACGAUGGUCCUCUCACCAUUCAGGCCGUUGGCUUACUAACAGACGUCCAUGAUGACAUCCUUCGAGCUUUCUCUUCCUCUGGAAUCAUUCUCCAUUAUGCCCCCUACGGUACUUCAAACAUCGUGUCCCUAAUGUUUCGGUGCAUGUACUAUUAUCCAACCCCAGCUAAUAUUUUGGGGAUAUGCUAUCCAGAAGCCUUCAUUCCACCUCAUAGUGGAUUCAACCUUUUAAGGUCGUUUCUGUAUUCUUCUCCUCAAAAAGACGCCACCAGCUGGAUUAACUUAAUUCUGGAAGUGUCACUUAAGGAGGAGUAUACGUGUCCUGAAACAGAUGAAUCUGCCAGCUGGUUUUGCAUAAUAUGCGAUGAACACCCCCUGGCCAAGGCUUUGAAUCUUUCACCAGUCAUCUCUCUUCCCCAGAACAUGUACUUACGUGCCUUCCAAAUACCAUUGAUGUGGGUACAAACAAUGAGAAGUUGUUGAAUGAUGAAUUCUACAUCGGCCUAAAACAACGAAGGAGAACUGGCCAGGAAUUGGCAGAUUUCCGACAACUUUGUGGCCAUUAAUAGACGAGAUUUUGGGGCCACCGCUCGCACUGCCGUCAGCAAAAACCACCGUAGAGAUCUCGCUGAAGACAGCUUUAAGCUCGUCGGAGAUAGAGCCGCAGCGGGCAGCCAUCAUUGUGUAGGCGGAGUUGAUUGAUGCCAGAGAAAAGAUGAAGUUAAGAGUUUCUUGCUUUUGAAGCUAUUACUUCAUCCGUAAGGACCAAAUCUUCGUCGUUUCGCUUCUUUAUUGCUUCUCACAGAUCAAUUUUGACGAAGAGGAACUUGGGAUUGCUUGUGUUUGUUUCGGUUCUGGAUUAAUCUUUAGGAGAGAAGGAUCUGCUGUUUUUGACGAUAUGCUAAGUUUUUGUGUAUUCAUAUCUUUGGAUUCAUCCUUGAACCAAAGGUCAUCUUAGGAUUCAUCCUUAAAACAAAUGUCAUCUUUGGAAUCAUCCCCGAACCAAUGAACUUCCUACUUCGAAUUUUCCGUCGAGUUCUUAUGAGCUAUCAUGUGUGUGCAGAUGUAUGUAUAUAUAUAUAUAUACACAUUUAGAAGAUAUAAGAUAGGACUAGCCGACUAGGGUUUUGCGA